rnacentral:rRNA from 1 species
AGCGAACGCUGGCGGCAGGCUUAACACAUGCAAGUCGAGCGGGCGUAGCAAUACGUCAGCGGCAGACGGGUGAGUAACGCGUGGGAACGUACCUUUUGGUUCGGAACAACACAGGGAAACUUGUGCUAAUACCGGAUAAGCCCUUACGGGGAAAGAUUUAUCGCCGAAGAUCGGCCCGCGUCUGAUUGGCUAGUUGGUGUGGUAACGGCGCACCAAGGCGACGAUCAGUAGCUGGCUGAGAGGAUGAUCAGCCACAUUGGGACUGAGACACGGCCCAAACUCCUACGGGAGGCAGCAGUAGGGAAUAUUGGACAAUGGGCGCAAGCCUGAUCCGGCCAUGCCGCGUGAGUGAUGAAGGCCCUAGGGUUGUAAAGCUCUUUUGUGCGGGAAGAUAAUGACGGUACCGCAAGAAUAAGCCCCGGCUAACUUCGUGCCAGCCGCCGCAGUAA